rnacentral:tRNA from 1 species
GCAAGAGUAGCUCAGUGGUAGAGCCCCCACUUCGAAUGCGGGGAGACCUGGGUUCGAUUCCCGACUACUUCCA